CAUCUAGAGGUAAUUUUAGACUUUAAGAUUUCCAUGCUAAUGACCACUUUGCAAGCUCAGGCAGAAGUAUCAUUCAAUGCUUCACUGAAGAACUACUCUGAGGAGUUAGGCUUCCAGGACAUAUAACAACGCUCCCAAGAGACUGGGCUCACCGGAUGGGGUUGUAUUUUGAUAGAUCAUUAUCUGGGGCAGUUCAGAAACUGUACCUGGUCAGUGCUCCAGAU